ACCUACGGGGCGCAGCAGUGAGGAAUAUUGGUCAAUGGGCGAGAGCCUGAACCAGCCAAGUCGCGUGAGGGAAGACGGUCCUAUGGAUUGUAAACCUCUUUUGCCGGGGAGCAAAAAGCGGUACGUGUACCGCAUCGAGAGUACCCGGAGAAAAAGCAUCGGCUAACUCCGUGCCAGCAGCCGCGGUAAUACGGAGGAUGCGAGCGUUAUCCGGAUUUAUUGGGUUUAAAGGGUGCGCAGGCGGUCUGUUAAGUCAGCGGUCAAAGCCAGGG
rnacentral:rRNA from 1 species